CCUUCCUUCCUCAUCUUUCCUUCCCCUGUCCCUCCAUGUCACUCUUCAGCUGAAGUGCUGAUCUUAGGGAAAUGGAAUCAAUCUGUCUAUAUGGGUGUGCACCAUGUGUAAGUGUUCUGGACAACGUAAAAGCAGUUGUGUUUGUAGGGGCCAGGGGAACAUUUUGAUGUGAGAAAAACCACACACAGUGAAGGGUUUGAAUAAAUAUUGUAGUUGGAGAAGUCCCAAUUAGAGAGUUAUAGUAGGCUGGGUAUCCACUCUGUUGGCUCCACCCUUCAGUGGCUACGUCCCGCCAUUUGGGGGGGACACCAUGUUUGCUCAAUAAGCCACAAAGGGCGGGGCCCCCCUCCCUCCUACCCUCCUCUGCCACCCUCUCUGGUUACGCCACAUAUGUACCACACUGCCACAGUGCACUAUGAACAUCAGUGGGAUUAGAUGAAUCCACCACAGACUCCCUCCAGUCCCGUCUGAGGGACUAGUGAAGCACCUCUCUGCCGGAGACAUGCAUGGAAACAGACAGAAUGGGGCCUCCGGGGCUUUGAUUACUAAUCCCUCCUGAUCAGAGCUCCACACUCACUCAACACACUAACUUAACCUGCUCCAGAGCUGCAGGCAGGCAGUUAGGCAGACUGGCAGAAAGAGCAGAAAGGCAGGCAGUCAGAGAGAGCAUUGCUGAGAGAACAGGCAGGAAGGCAGGCAGUCAGAGAGAGCAUUGCUGAGAGAACAGGCAGGCAGGCAGUCAGAGCAGGGUGGGAAAGCAGGCAGGCAGUCAGAGCAGGGUGGGCAAGCAGGCAGGCAGUCAGAGAGAGCAUUGCUGAGAGAACAGGCAGGCAGGCAGUCAGAGCAGGGUGGGCAAGCAGGCAGGCAGUCAGAGCAGGGUGGGCAAGCAGGCAAGCAGGGAUUUAUAGAGCGCCAUGCAUUUGUGUGAUCUGGUCUAGUGAGAGACAACACACAGCCGGGAGAGAAUCAGCUCGGCUCAUCGGCUCACGCCAGAUAAAGCACCAAGCAGCCCCCUCUCUCCACCCACCUUCCAUCUCCUAACUCUCUUUAUUCUAGCGUAAGACAAAGCAGUUGUGACUCAGACCCAUUGCAAACAAACUUUAAGUUAGUUAGACUAGAGAGAUCUAAUAACUAGAGACGUCCUCUAUAAAGGGUGCCAGCUGGUCUCAGCAUCACAUAGCGUGAAGGGAGGAGGGGAGACGAAAGGGGAGAUCAAAUGUCAAAAGAAUUCCAAUGAGCACCCGGAAUCUUCGAGUAGGGCUUCUCGGCUCGCUGUUCCCAUUGAGAGAUUUCCAGAUCUCUACGGGAAGCUCUUACAUUACAACAACUCAAGCACUGCAUAAAGUACAGACCCAAAAAAUGGGUCAUUUUAAACUAUUUCAACAGAAGAGUACAAGAACUCAAAUAUAGCAUUGCAACAAAGUGCAGGCCAGACGGUCGUCUGUAAAGACAGAAAGAUUGCUGAUCUUAAACAACUUUCAGCUGCUGUUUAAAUGUCUUCGUUUUUUCCUCUGCUCCUCCAGAGUUGCGUAAUCACAGUUCUUUAAAGGCCUCUCAUCCACCACACAUUCUUUGUGGUAUAAAAUGCUGCCUGCAGGCUGGAAAACCCCCAGACUGAGUGAUUCUGUGGCACUGUAGCACUUAGCUCUGGCCUCAGCUCAGUGCAACAGUCAGGGGUGUCUUAUGCAAUCGCUUAGCCUACGCGAACGGCCACAAAUAGUGUCUGCUAUGCACUCACAGCCGUAUGAUUUCCCCACAUUUACAUAGACAUUUGCAUUGCAUCGAUCUGGAGAGGCUUUAGUUUCAGUUGAUAGAUUAUGAACUUUCAUUCAUCCACACACACCCAUGAAUAGAGCUGUUACUGUACCAGAGGUUGAAUGUAGGUCAUUGUGUAGGAUAACUUUCCUUUUUCAUAAAGCCACUUGGCUACAUCCGUUCCAAUACAAUACAUCUUAAUUCAUUUGAAUGUAAAGUCUUUAUGUUGCGCUGCCACAGUACAGUACCCAACCUGACAGUUGGCUCUCACCCAGCCAAAUUACAUUAGCUUACUGGCUAACUGCAUCCAUGUUGAUGUUCAACUUCACCAACAUUCCUCUCUCUCCUGCCACAACUAAAGGACUAAUACGGUGUUGACUGUGGAGGGAACACUUGGUCUAUAACGGACACACACUGGGCUCUGUCUCUAUCACAGGAUACAGCUGAGGCCUGCCUUAUGUUGUGUUAAGUUUGAAUAAGUCAACGGUCGUGCUGGUCUUAACCUCCUGUGCAGUGCAGUGGCCUGUUUAAGCUGUUCUCUCCCACACUCUCGUUUUGAAAUGUACCAGGCUACUUUGAGUCAACACAAAUGAAAAUGCCCCUCUGUUACAAAACACAAACAUGUUUAAAACUAGAUUAUGGGAUUAAAAUAGAUUUUCUCCCCAAAUCUACUGUUGUUUUGUAUGUCCCUAAAUUGUAUAAUACCUCAAAACAUCAAAUACCUGUUAUAUUUUUCAAAUAUAAAGUGUUUCACCUGCUGUCGAAGACUAAAUAUUGCAUAUUACAGUAUAUCCAGUUGUCUUGUACAGUGUAACAUACAUGAAUGACCAUGGAGUUAAUGAUUGAACAGCACUCUCUGAUGGCCAUAUGUGGAAUUGUCAGAGCAAUGUGAAUUUCUUGAACUACACAGAUGUCGGAUCUUAAUUUAAACUCUCUCGUCGAAGGAGGAAAAUAAUCCUGCAGCAAGAUGAUUUGAAUAUCCAAACAUAUUUUUUAAAAUCUCUGCCAGGGGCCAGCUGGAAGUGGCGUUUGUAGGCUACAUUCAGGCUACAGGGCAUCUUGUGUGAAUUCAUAUUUGCAGGUGGUAGAUGUAUUUUUGGGCACAGGCACUAUGGCGUUAGGGCGGUAUUGUGCUGUUAGUGCUAUACUAUUAGUCUUAGUCCUGUAUUGACGCGUUGCCUGUUUGAUUUGAUUUUAUUAGGAUCUCUUUUAGUCCCCAUUUGGACUAAUCUUCCAAGAGUCCUUAACAUUAAAAUACAAUUUAUAAUACAAACACACUUUCACAUAUAACAUACUAUUACAAACAUACAUAAUACACUAGCAUAAUGUUUGAUGGUUCGUCGGAGGGCAUAGUGGGAUUUCUUAUAAGCUUCCGGGUUAGAGUCCCGCUCCUUCAAAGCAGCAGCUCUAGCUUUUAGCUCAGUAGGGAUGCUGCCUGUAAUGCAUGGCUUCUGGUUGGGGUAUGUACGUACGGUCACGGUGGGGACGACGUCAUUGAUGUACUUAGCCAAUGACAGAUGUGGUGUACUCCUCAAUGCCAUUGGAUGAAUCACGGAACAUAUUCCAGUCUGUGCUAGCAAAACAGUCCUGUAGCUUAGCAUCUGCUUCAUCUGACCACUUUUUUAUUGAUCUAGUCACGGGUGCUUCCUGCUUUACUUUUUGCUUGUAAGCAGGAAUCAGGAGGAUGGAAUUAUGGUCAGAUUUGCCAAAUGGAGGGCAAGGGAGAGCUUUGUAUGCAUCUCUGUGUGAGGAGUAUAGGUGGUCCAGAGUUCUUAUCCCUCUGGUUGCAAAUUUAACAUGCUGAUAGAAAUUUGGUAAAACUGCAUUUACAGUCCCCGGCUACUAGGAGCCCUGCCUCUGGGUGAGCGCUUUCUUGUUUGCUUAUGGUGGAAUACAGCUCAUUCAAUGCUAUCUUAGUGCCAGCCUCUGACUGUGAUGGUAUGUAAACAGCUACAAAGAGUAUAGAUGAAAACUCUCUCGGUAGGUAAUGUGGUCUACAGUUUAUCAUGAGAAACUCUACCUCAGGCGAGCAAUAGCUCGAGACUUCCUUAGAUAUUGUGCACCAGCUGUAUGUUGAUAUUGUCAUCGUUCAGCCACGACUCUGUGAAGCAUAAGAUGUUACAGUUUUUAAUGUCCCGUUGGUAGUUUAAUCUUCCCAAUAACUCAUCCAUUUUAUUGUCCAAAGAUUGCAUGUUUGCUAGCAGAAUUGAGGGGAGUGGGGCUUUAUUCAAUUGCCUCAGACUCCUCAGAAGGCAGCCUGCCCUCCGGUCUCUCUUUCUCCGCCUCCUUUUCACACAGAUCACUGGGGGUCGGGGCCUGUUCCCGAGGGAGCCGUAUAUCCUCCGCCUCGUCAGAGUUGUGAAAGAAGAAAAAGGAUUCUGGCUAGUCCGUGGUAACCCAUAAGGACAGCCUCCCCUCUGAGAUAGUGUUCACGGUGAAGAUGGCUCCAUUUCAUGGUUUCCUGCAUAGAGUUUCUCCCAGGAGCAUGUCAACACUGGCCACAUCCAGCACCUCCAGGUGGAUCCGGACCAGAGUCACGGCACUUUCCUCCUGGACAAACGCCAACGGCAUCACAGAGGUCCAUGACAUCAGGGUCUCUGUGGAUAUCAUCCCGCUCCAUGUCUUUAGAGUGACCCUGCAGGAAGGGUCAUCAGAGGCCCUGACCAAGGAGGUCAU